GUGGCUUCCAGUGUUAUAUGACACUUCCAAGGCAACAUAUGAGCUCAUUCAAAAGAUACUACUUACAGGACUGGAGCCUGGAGCUGUUGAUGUGUUUCUUGAUUUCAUUUACUACUCAGGUGGUCCUCUACCUGACGAACUGCUCACCCAAGUUAAGGGAGUUCAUGUUUUAGAGGACUUUGUUGCCGAGCAAUUGAGGUCCAUGAUUUCUGAUAUGUAGGUUGCUGUGGUCACUCAGGUUGGCAGCUGGUAUACAGGAAGUCAAAGUUGAAAUGAAAAUGAUGCCCAUCCCAAGCAUUACAACAAAUAUGAUGUUGAACUGUGGUGCCAAUUAUUUCUAUUAGAUCUUGGGCCAUUUCUAGAGAAAACCCAGAAAUCUUUUGCUCUGCUGUGAGUGAUUACAUAUCAGCUGUGAAGAAAUUAGCUUGUGGAGUUCUUGAAUCUUUAACUGAAGGGCUGAAGGUUGAACCAAGCUUAACUGGUUUUGGAGAACACUGACCCUCAGAUAAUAUCAGUUCUGAGAUCAAACAAUACAUCAGGCCUUCAAAUCUCUCUCAGUGAUGGGAGCUGGGUUUCAGUCCCACCUGACCACAACUCCUUUGUCAUUGUUGGUGAUUCCUUGCAGAAUGGGCUUAAUAUGGUGGACCCAAUUGAGAAUGGGAGAGCAGCAGUAUUGCAAGAGUAGUGGUGAAGUACAGUUGCCAUCUCUGGAAGGAGGCUAGGUUGCUUGGAGUUGUUUGAAUCAUGGGAUGAGGCAUCAACCUUCACGUUGCUAACCAUGUAAUCCUUGUUGACGGUUCGUGGAACCCUACUUAUGAUCUUCAGGCUCAGGUUUGGAGGUAUGACAUAAUCGAGAUAUUUA